ensembl:lncRNA
GCUAAAAUGCAAAACACAAGUGCAGCAGGACAGCGAGGAUUCAUGGAAGAAAUUGGUUUUAUAAUGAGGAGAACAAGAAGCUACUCUCUGACAUCAGAGCUUCUGUUCCAGGAAGGAGGAGCAGAACCCCCAUCAAGACGAGCGGCAACAGACUUUUAAGAAGAGAGAGCGGUUACAGUGUCAAAGGGUCUCUCUGGAGAGCGAGAUCUUGCGCUUGCGAGAAGACAACGGGCGCUGGCUGGGGAGCGGGACAAUCUGCAGAACAGAGUUGGGCUUCUGCAGGAAUGGAAGGAGGCGGAAGAGGACUGGGCCAGAGAGGAAGCUUUGAGAGAAAGGCGAAGUAGGCCACGAAAGCUGCUGGCCAGGCCAGACACAAACUGCUCACGCUCCGCCAGGAACUGGGCGUCCUUUGUGCAGAGCGAGAUUUCCAUUUCCACUGAUACGCAAAGCGAAAGCCGGCUCUCGGGCAAACCACAGGAUCAGGUCCGGAGUAGCUUCCAGUGGGAGACGUGUGCGCUUGACGCUCAGUGCCAUGGACAGUCACCAAGGACGACUGGGAGGACAUGAGCGCAGACAGAACGCCGGGAGUGAGAUGAGCAAACACUGGGCUGCUAACAAGAGCCUGAGGGCUCAGUUAGAUGAAAGAGAUCAGACGCUGAAGGAGCUGCACCAGAGGUAAAUGCUCUCUUUCACCCUUCUGCGGUCUUUCUCUUUCCCGUGCUGCGGGUCACGUGGGCAGCGUCUGAUUCCACCGUGCGGCCGACUCCAGCAGCGUCUCUAGAUCUCCAGACCCGUGAAGCUGGCUGUGGAUAGAGACAGUGAGAGGACGUGUCAUUUCCUGCCCGUGUCAUAAGACGUCUGACAGUCACUUGCCUCCUCCCUGUCCUUUUUACUUCCUUCCUUUCUUUCUGUCUG